rnacentral:rRNA from 1 species
ACGGAAGGCGCAGUGGGGAAUUUUGCGCAAUGGGGGAAACCCUGACGCAGCAACGCCGCGUGCGGGACGGAGGCCUUCGGGCUGUAAACCGCUUUCAGCAGGGAAGACAUCGACGGUACCUGCAGAAGAAGCUCCGGCUAACUACGUGCCAGCAGCCGCGGUAAUACGUAGGGGGCGAGCGUUAUCCGGAUUCAUUGGGCGUAAAGCGCGCGUAGGCGGCUGCCUAAGCGGAGUUUCUAACCUUGGGGCUCAACCUCAAGCCGGACUCCGAACUGGGCGGCUCGAGUGCGGUAGGGGCAGGCGGAAUUCCACGUGUAGCGGUGAAAUGCGCAGAUAUGUGGAGGAACGCCGAUGGCGAAGGCAGCCUGCUGGGCCGACACUGACGCUGAGGCGCGAAAGCCGGGGGAGCGAACAGGAUUAGAUACCCUGGUA